CAGGGCCUACGGGGCGCAGCAGUCGGGAAUAUUGCGCAAUGGAGGAAACUCUGACGCAGUGACGCCGCGUAUAGGAAGAAGGUUUUCGGAUUGUAAACUAUUGUCAUUAGGGAAGAUAAAAGACUGUACCUAAGGAGGAGGCCCCGGCUAACUAUGUGCCAGCAGCCGCGGUAAUACAUAGGGGGCAAGCGUUAUCCGGAUUUACUGGGUGUAAAGGGGGCGCAGACGGCAGCGCAAGCCAGGAGUGAAAGCCCGGGGCCCAACCCCGGGACUGCUCUUGGAACUGCGCGGCUGGAGUGCAGGAG
rnacentral:rRNA from 1 species